GAUCAUGGCUCAGGAUGAACGCUAGCUACAGGCUUAACACAUGCAAGUCGAGGGGCAGCAUGAUUGAAGCUUGCUUCAAUCGAUGGCGACCGGCGCACGGGUGAGUAACACGUAUCCAACCUGCCGGAUAACUCGGGGAUAGCCUUUCGAAAGAAAGAUUAAUACCCGAUAGUAUAGUAUUUCCGCAUGGUUUCACUAUUAAAGAAUUUCGGUUAUCGAUGGGGAUGCGUUCCAUUAGA
rnacentral:rRNA from 1 species